rnacentral:lncRNA from 1 species
GCUUUCUGCUUUGCUCUUUUUUGGGGGGUUUCAAAAAUGGUUGAGAAAGCAAGGGGAAGAAAGGAAGAGGUUGUUUCCAGAGAAUACACCAUCAACCUUCACAAGCGUCUCCAUGGCUGGUAAUUUGAUUUUUUCCACUUCUUUUUACACAAUUUUUCAUUACUUGCUUUGUGGAUCUCUGUUGUUUCGGUUCUAAAUUAGAUUUUUUUUCUGUAUUUUUUUUCAAUAUUUCGAUUAUUUGUUUUCAUUUCUUUUGUAUUCAUCUUGUUUAUAAUCAUAAACUUUGUUCGCAUAAGUAUUGGCCUUUCAUGUGGAUAAGAAAUGGUGGAAUUUAGGGUUUAGAUUCAUGAUUUUUUAUCCGUUACCGGCAAUAGAUUCGUGGUUUAAUCUUAAACUAAUUAUAUUGAAAUUGAUGAUGUUCAUUGUAACGAGUCGAGCUCAAUACUUGAUUCGAACUUGAUCGGGUUUCCUUUUAAAGUUUGAGCUUAAUUCGAGACAAAAAUCGAAUUGCUUAAAGGUCGAUUAGAUUGGAUUAUUCUUGUGCUCGACUUCGAACUCAAUUAUUUUCCGCCCUAGUUUUAUCUCGAGUAGAAAAUGAUUGUGUAAGACUGGAUCUUUUUCGAAUCAAAUCCCAGCAGGUUGCAAUUAUAGUUUGAGUGAUUUGUUUUUUAAUGAAGUCCUUGGUAGUCUUUGUAAACAGCACAUUCAAGAAGAAAGCUCCCAAGGCAAUAAAAGAGAUCAGGAGAUUUGCAGAAAAAGCCAUGGGAACCAAGGAUGUGAGAGUUGAUGUUAAACUGAACAAGCAUAUAUGGAGCCGAGGGAUUCGAAGUGUCCCCAGACGGAUAAGGGUUCGCAUUGCUCGGAAGAGAAAUGAUGAUGAAGAUGCAAAGGAGGAGCUUUACUCUCUGGUAACGGUU